rnacentral:rRNA from 1 species
AGAACGAACGCUGGCGGCGUGUCUUAAGCAUGCAAGUUGAGCGGCAAGGGGUAGCAAUACCCCCUAGAGCGGCGGACUGGUGAGUAACGCAUGGGUGAUCUGCCCUUGGGAUGGGGAUAGCCACUAGAAAUAGUGGGUAAUACCGAAUACGUUCACACUUUCAGAGGUGUGAGGAAAAGCGCUUCGGCGCUGCCCGAGGAUGAGCCCGUGUCCCAUUAGCUGGUUGGUGAGGUAACGGCCCACCAAGGCGAUGAUGGGUAGGCGGCCUGAGAGGGUGUACGCCCACAUUGGGACUGAGAUACGGCCCAAACUCCUACGGGGAGGCAGCAGCUAAGAAUAUUCCGCAAUGGACGAAAGUCUGACGGAGCGACGCCGCGUGGAUGAUGAAGGCCGAAAGGUUGUAAAGUCCUUUUGCUGGGGAAGAAUAAGCAUGGGAGGUAAUGCCCGUGCGAUGACAUGAACCGGCGAAUAAGCCCCGGCUAACUACGUGCCAGCAGCCGCGGUGACACGUAGGGGGCGAGCGUUGUUCGGAAUUACUGGGCGUAAAGGGCAUGUAGGCGGCUUGAUAAGCCUGGCGUGAAAGUCACCGGCUCAACCGGUGGAUUGCGUUGGGAACUGUUGGGCUUGAAUCACGGAGAGGGAGCUAGAAUUCCAGGUGUAGGGGUGAAAUCUGUAGAGAUCUGGAAGAAUACCAGUGGCGAAGGCGAGCUCCUGGCCGAUGAUUGACGCUGAGGUGCGAAAGUGUGGGGAUCAAACAGGAUUAGAUACCCUGGUAGUCCACACUGUCAACGAUGUGCACUAGGUGCUGGGGCGGAUGCUUCAGUCCGGAGCUAACGCGGUAAUGCACCGCCUGGGGAGUAUGCUCCCCAGGUGAACUCAAGAAUUGACGGGGCCCCCACACGGUGACAUGUGGUUAUUCGUAUGGUACGCGAGGAACCUUACCUGGGUUUGACAUACGGAGGAAUGCGGUAGCGAUAUCGCAGCGUAGCAAUACGCUCCGUACAGGUGCUGCAUGGCUGUCGUCAGCUCGUGCCGUGAGGUGUUGGGUUAAGUCCCGCAACGAGCGCAACCCCUACUGCCAGUUACCAACACGUUAAGGUGGGGACUCUGGCGGAACUGCCGGUGACAAACCGGAGAAGGUGGGGAUGACGUCAGUCAUCAUGGCCCUUAUGUCCAGGGCUACACACGUGCUACAAUGGGCGAGACAGAUGACGCGAACCCAGGUGGACAAAUCGCAAAAAUCCCCGUAUUCGGAUUGGAUCUGAAACCCGACUCCAUGAAGGUGGAAUCGCUAGUAAUCGCGCAUCAGCAUGGCGCGGUGAAUACGUUCCCGGGCCUUGUACACACCGCCCGUCACACCAUCCGAGCGGGAGGCCCCGAAGCCGUUAGUCCAACCAGCGAUGGGGGACGACGUCGAAGGUACGUCUCGUAAGGAGGGUG